UUUUUUUUUUUUUUUUUGUUAAAUAAUAAAACAAAAAUUUUUCUUUGUUCCCUGUCAAAUUUAACAAAUAAUUAGGUUGAAUGUCACGAGAGGAAAUGAUUAGAUCUCCGUUAAUGGAAGCCUGGAACACAGAUUUUUCCCUCUCAUCAUUCAUUUAUUUUAGGGAACAAACAAAUGAUAAAUCAAAUAAAUCCUUGAUGUGAAAAUGUGCAUAUUCAUUUAAUACCAUAGGCAUAUUACUAGCAUGGAAAAUAAAGAAAAUAGAAGAUAAAAAAAAAAGAGCAAAGUACACAAUUCCAAAAGA
rnacentral:misc_RNA from 1 species